GCCCAACAAACUGUAAUGAAUGGGUUGGUGCUUUGUGAGGAGCUACAUGGUGCUGCUCUCUUGCAACAGAGUUUUGGCGUCUAUUUUCAGCCUUGGGUGCAGAAAUCUUGGGAGCUGAGACACCGUUUGAUGCUGACAGAGCUGGAGCGAGAGAUUGAGAGGGAGUGGCGGCUGGAAGCAUUACCCCAAGCUUUGCGGGUGUUCUAAGGUUUAUUGAGUUUGAGUUGCAUUGAAAAUAACAAAGGCAUCUCUCGCUCAUUCCAAUUGGCAGAGAGAGAGAGAUGCUCCUCAGAGCUCAGAGAAGGACCUCCACCACAUCGUCUGAACAUUCACCUCAGUUGGAGCAAGAGCAGCCAAAUAGGCAGUGAUCGCGUGGAGAAGGCCACAGACAGGGUGAACCUGGGUUCUUCACCUGUGUGAAUGUCCCUGCUUCUACUGUCCCUAUGGGACAGCUAGGUAGAAGUUCAGACUGCGUCCCGGCUGCUCUGAGGCCCUGGGGCCUCGAAGGAGCUAAUAGGACACCCCCUUUAAGCUCCUAGAGAAGAAACCACCGAAUUGACAGCAGGACUCACAACUGGACCAGAAAUGGCCAUACUAUGACAGGAGAGGAGCUCUGGACCCAUAACCAGCCAGUGUUGACAAUCCAGGGGAAGAAAUGGAAAAAUCCCCAAAAAUAUGAAAAUCUGUGUGACAUGCAUGGUUAAAACCAUAACUCCCUUGAGCCCCCCUCCAGCAUCUCAGACCAUGACGUCUGUGAUGGAACCGAAGCCCACAUGAGUGGGAUGGAGGGAAGGGUAGCAGAAGGUAACACAGGGUCGGACUGUACCAACCAACAAAGCUCCCUCUCCAUGGGGGUGGACAGUAUCACUGAGCUGUACCAGGGCAUCCCCGUCGAGGGGCCAGAGUUCUCAGAUGCGGCGGCAUGUGUGGUUCUGUGGGUGGGCGACGUGCAGCCGGCGAUCUCUUGGGAAUCUCGGCAGGUGGAAGCAGCCUCAGGGAACACUGAAGACCACAGAAUGUGUGGGGUCGUGCAGCACUCAGGUACAAUACAAAAAUAGAUUCUUAAUGUUAUUUCCGCAAAAAACACGGAUUCAAUGGAUUCUAUACUUUGUUUGUUUCUUUGUCAAUUAAAUGUCACGGCUGUUAAUAUGGUGCCUCCUCUCACAACUAACCCCAAGUACAAACUUACAUACGUA
ensembl:lncRNA